CCGUUCUGGAGAGAGAAAGCCUCAGACCCUUUGGGAGAGGAUCAGAGCUACUGAUUUACACAAGUCAAGCUAAGAUUUGGUCAGCCAUGGUUCAGAAGUCAAAAGGUCAAGGAUGGCAGAUAAGAAGAAAGGAAGAGAGGAGAGAAUCACUUAGUUUGCAGCAACUAAUUCACCCGCAUUUUGAAAACAGGCCCAGGGAAAAGGUUCUUCUCAACCCCACCCAAGGACAUGGAGUCUAUUUUCUGACCCACUGAAUUUGAGCAGGCAGGGCAGUGGGGGAUAGGACACCGUGGGCAUCACUCAUUCACCGGAUCUCCAGAAGUCAAACAUGCAUAUGUUUACUAAAGAAUUAUGGAGAGCAAUUUACAUUUUUAUGUAAUUCUUUGGCCAAA